rnacentral:tRNA from 1 species
GCUUCUGUAGCUCAGUUGUGGUAGCAUCCCUCUCAUAUAGGGAAGGUCGUGAGUUCGAGCCUCACCAGGAGCA